rnacentral:rRNA from 1 species
UGAGAAUACUAAGGCGAUCGGGAGAAUCGUGGUGAAGGAACUCGGCAAAAUACCCCCGUAACUUCGGAAUAAGGGGGACCGGAGGGGUGCAUAGCCCUGAAGGUCGCAGAGACCACGCCCAAGCGACUGUUUACCAAAAACACAGGUCCGUGCCAAGUUGAAAGACGAUGUAUACGGACUGACUCCUCCCCGGUGCUGGAAGGUUAAGGGGAAGUGUCAGCGCAAGCGAAGCACUGAACUUAAGCCCCAGUAAACGGCGGUGGUAACUAUAACCAUCCUAAGGUAGCGAAAUUCCUUGUCGGGUAAGUUCCGACCUGCACGAAUGGAGUAACGAUUUGGGCACUGUCUCCACCACGAACUCGGCGAAAUUGCAUUACGAGUAAAGAUGCUCGUUACGCGCAGCAGGACGGAAAGACCCCGGGACCUUUACUAUAGUUUGGUAUUGGUGAUCGGGACGACUUGUGUAGGAUAGGUGGGAGACUUUGAAGCUUGGACGCCAGUUCAGGUGGAGUCAACGUUGAAAUACCACUCUGGUCGUUCUGGUUAUCUAACCUAGGUCCAUUAUCUGGAUCAGGGACAGUGCCUGAUGGGUAGUUUGACUGGGGCGGUCGCCUCCCAAAAGGUAACGGAGGCGCCCGAAGGUUCCCUCAGCCUGGUUGGCAAUCAGGUGUUGAGUGUAAAUGCACAAGGGAGCUUGACUGUGAGACAGACAUGUCGAGCAGGGACGAAAGUCGGGAUUAGUGAUCUUAUGGUGGCACGUGGAAGCGCCAUAACUCAACGGAUAAAAGGUACCCCGGGGAUAACAGGCUGAUCUUGCCCGAGCGCUCACAGCGACGGCAUGGUUUGGCACCUCGAUGUCGGCUCGUCGCAUCCUGGGGCUGGAGUCGGUCCCAAGGGUUGGGCUGUUCGCCCAUUAAAGCGGCACGCGAGCUGGGUUCAGAACGUCGUGAGACAGUUCGGUCCCUAUCCGCUGCGCGCGUAGGAAUCUUGAGAAGGGCUGUCCUUAGUACGAGAGGACCGGGACGGACUAACCUCUGGUGUGCCAGUUGUUCUGCCAAGAGCACGGCUGGUUGGCUACGUUGGGAAGUGAUAACCGCUGAAAGCAUCUAAGUGGGAAGCACGCUUCAAGAUGAGGGUUCCCUCAGAGUUAAUCUGGUAAGGCCCCCGGUAGACCACCGGGUUGAUAGGUCGGACGUGGAAGUGCGGCAACGCAUGGAGCUGACCGAUACUAAUAGGCCGAGGGCUUGUUUC